UACGUAGGGUGCGAGCGUUAAUCGGAAUUACUGGGCGUAAAGCGUGCGCAGGCGGUUAUAUAAGACAGAUGUGAAAUCCCCGGGCUCAACCUGGGAACUGCAUUUGUGACUGUAUAGCUAGAGUACGGCAGAGGGGGAUGGAAUUCCGCGUGUAGCAGUGAAAUGCGUAGAUAUGCGGAGGAACACCAAUGGCGAAGGCAAUCCCCUGGGCCUGUACUGACGCUCAUGCACGAAAGCGUGGGGAGCAAACAGG
rnacentral:rRNA from 1 species